UGCCGCGUGCGGGAUGACGGUCCUAUGGAUUGUAAACUGCUUUUGUACGGGAAAAAACACUCCUUCGUGAAGGAGCUUGACGGUACCGUAAGAAUAAGGAUCGGCUAACUCCGUGCCAGCAGCCGCGGUAAUACGGAGGAUCCAAGCGUUAUCCGGAAUCAUUGGGUUUAAAGGGUCCGUAGGCGGUCUGGUAAGUCAGUGGUGAAAGCCCAUCGCUCAACGGUGGAACGGCCAUUGAUACUGCUGGACUUGAAUUACUGGGAAGCAACUAAAAUAUGUAGUGUAGCGGUGAAAUGCUUAGAGAUUACAUGGAAUACCAAUUGCGAAGGCAGGUUGCUACCAGUGGAUUGACGCUGAUGGACGAAAGCGUGGGUAGCGAACAGGAUUAGAUACCCUGGUAGUCCACGCCGUACACGAUGGAUACUAGCUGUUGGGAGCAAUCUCACUGGCUAAACGAAAGUGAUAAGUAUCCCACCUGGGGAGUACGUUCGCAAGAAUGAAACUCAAAGGAAUUGACGGGGGCCCGCACAAGCGGUGGAGCAUGUGGUUUAAUUCGAUGAUACGCGAGGAACCUUACCAAGGCUUAAAUGCAGACUGACCGAUUUGGAAACAGAUCUUUCG
rnacentral:rRNA from 1 species